UACGUAGGGCGCAAGCGUUGUCCGGAAUUAUUGGGCGUAAAGAGCUCGUAGGCGGUCUGUCACGUCUGCCGUGAAAACCCGAGGCUUAACCUCGUGGCUUGCGGUGGAUAUGGGCAGACUAGAGGUAGGUAGGGGAGAACGGAAUUCCCGGUGUAGCGGUGAAAUGCGCAGAUAUCGGGAGGAACACCGGUGGCGAAGGCGGUUCUCUGGGCCUUACCUGACGCUGAGGAGCGAAAGCAUGGGGAGCGAACAGG
rnacentral:rRNA from 1 species